CGGUAAACAAGUUCAAGUGUUGGAGAGAUUGCGGAGUUUUAUUAGUGUAUUGGGGAAUUAUUGUUGACGGGACACGGGUCUGCCGCCCGCCGGACCCGCGGCGCACCCCCGCCAUCCGACUGAGAGACGCAGGCAAAGAUGUUUGUGUCUGCGGGGUGUCAGCUGUCGGAGGGGAGCCGCCCUCCCCCGUCCGUCCCGGCGUGGUCCGCG